rnacentral:rRNA from 1 species
ACAGAGGGUGCGAGCGUUGUCCGGAAUCACUGGGCGUAAAGGGCGCGUAGGCGGCUUGAUAAGGUUGCGGUGAAAGCCCGGGGCUCAACCCCGGGUCGGCCGUGGCAACUGUCGAGCUGGAGCACUGUAGAGGCAGGUGGAAUUCCGGGUGUAGCGGUGGAAUGCGUAGAGAUCCGGAAGAACACCGGUGGCGAAGGCAGCCCCCUGGGCUAGCACUGACG